rnacentral:rRNA from 1 species
AUGGAAAAGUAUUGGUGGAGUAGCUCGAUCGACAAGAGGUCUCUUCACUGAUUCUCUUGGAAGGAAUUGGCAAAACCAAAUUGUCAGGGAGGGAUGGGUUUUUGCGACCUCCACAUGUUCAAUCUUGCACUCCUUGGCAAAAAUGGCUGGCGCUUCUUGACAAAUCCCACCUCACUUUGUGCCAGAGUUAUGAAGGGCAGAUACUUUCCAGACACAGAUUUCCUGCAUGCCACAGCACCUAAGGCCGCUUCGGCUACUUGGCGGGCAAUCAUUGCUGGACGAGAAGCUUUACUUGCGGGGAUUGUUCAGCGUGUUGGUGAUGGCACUUCAAUCAAUCCGUGGACAGACAAGUGGAUUCCCACAACACUAACCAGAGCCCCCUUGUUCAAACCGUCGGGCACGAACAUCACCCAAGUUAGCGAGUUCAUUGAUACAGAGAACUGGACUUGGAAUCAAGAUCUAGUUCGACACACUUUUAUCACACCGGAGGCAGAGGCUAUUCUGAAUAUUCCUCUUCGACGCGGCGGGGUGAAGACACAUUGGCAUGGGCACAUGAGAGAUCAGGCAUCUACACUGAUAAAUCAGCGUACCGAGCUCUAG